UACGUAGGUGGCAAGCGUUGUCCGGAUUUACUGGGCGUAAAGAGCGCGCAGGCGGUCGUUCAAGUCGCGUGUGAAAGCCCCCGGCUCAACUGGGGAGGGUCACGCGAUACUGAUCGACUCGAAGGCAGGAGAGGGUAGUGGAAUUCCCGGUGUAGUGGUGAAAUGCGUAGAUAUCGGGAGGUACACCAGUGGCGAAGGCGACUACCUGGCCUGUUCUUGACGCUGAGGCGCGAAAGCUAGGGGAGCAAACGGG
rnacentral:rRNA from 1 species